GGUCCCAUCGUCUAGUCAGGUCAGGACAUCAGGUUUUCAUCCUGGGAACAGGGGUUCGAAUCCCCUUGGGAUCA
rnacentral:tRNA from 1 species